GACGUAGGGCGCGAGCGUUGUCCGGAUUUAUUGGGCGUAAAGAGCUCGUAGGCGGCUUGUCGCGUCGACCGUGAAAACUCGCAGCUCAACUGCGAGCCUGCGGUCGAUACGGGCAGGCUAGAGUUCGGUAGGGGAGACUGGAAUUCCUGGUGUAGCGGUGAAAUGCGCAGAUAUCAGGAGGAACACCGGUGGCGAAGGCGGAUCUCUGGGCCUUACCUGACGCUGAGGCGCGAAAGCUAGGGGAGCGAACAGG
rnacentral:rRNA from 1 species